rnacentral:rRNA from 1 species
AGUGAACGCUGGCGGCGUGCUUAACACAUGCAAGUCGAACGAAUAAGUGCCUGUAGCAAUACAGGAUUACUGUUAGUGGCAGACGGGUGAGUAAUACAUGGGAAUCUGCCUUGGAGGCUGGGAUAACUGUUGGAAACGACAGCUAAUACCGGAUAUCGCCGAGAGGUGAAAGUUUUUUCGCUCCAAGAUGAGCCCAUGCAAGAUUAGCUAGUUGGUAGGGUAAAAGCCUACCAAGGCGAAGAUCUUUAGCUGGUCUAAGAGGAUGAUCAGCCACACUGGAACUGAGACACGGUCCAGACUCCUACGGGAGGCAGCAGUGGGGAAUAUUGGACAAUGGGCGAAGGCCUGAUCCAGCGACGCCGCGUGAGUGAUGAAGGCCUUAGGGUUGUAAAGCUCUUUCAGCAGGGAAGAUAAUGACGGUACCUGCAGAAGAAGCUCCGGCUAACUUCGUGCCAGCCGCCGCUGUAA